UGAAUGCUGGAACCUUGCUUGCAGGGAUUUCAAUUUCUUGUCCAGUUUGUGGGUUGCGACCUUUACGUGCGGCGCGUUGCCGUACUUCAAAGUUACCAAAACCGAUUAAUUGAACCUUUUCACCCUUGGCCAGAGAUGCUUGGAUGGA
rnacentral:misc_RNA from 1 species